UACGAAGGGGGCUAGCGUUGCUCGGAAUCACUGGGCGUAAAGGGCGCGUAGGCGGCCGGCCAAGUCGGGGGUGAAAGCCUGUGGCUCAACCACAGAAUGGCCCUCGAUACUGGACGGCUCGAGACCGGAAGAGGUUGGUGGAAUUGCGAGUGUAGAGGUGAAAUUCGUAGAUAUUCGCAAGAACACCGGUGGCGAAGGCGGCGAGCUGGUCCAUUACUGACGCUGAGGCGCGACAGCGUGGGGAGCAAACAGG
rnacentral:rRNA from 1 species